rnacentral:rRNA from 1 species
GACGAACGCUGGCGGCGCGCCUAACACAUGCAAGUCGAACGAGCGAGAGAGAGCUUGCUUUCUCGAGCGAGUGGCGAACGGGUGAGUAACGCGUGAGGAACCUGCCUCAAAGAGGGGGACAACAGUUGGAAACGACUGCUAAUACCGCAUAAGCCCACGGGUCGGCAUCGACCAGAGGGAAAAGGAGCAAUCCGCUUUGAGAUGGCCUCGCGUCCGAUUAGCUAGUUGGUGAGGUAAUGGCCCACCAAGGCGACGAUCGGUAGCCGGACUGAGAGGUUGAACGGCCACAUUGGGACUGAGACACGGCCCAGACUCCUACGGGAGGCAGCAGUGGGGAAUAUUGCACAAUGGGGGAAACCCUGAUGCAGCGACGCCGCGUGGAGGAAGAAGGUCUUCGGAUUGUAAACUCCUGUUGUUGGGGAAGAUAAUGACGGUACCCAACAAGGAAGUGACGGCUAACUACGUGCCAGCAGCCGCGGUAAAACGUAGGUCACAAGCGUUGUCCGGAAUUACUGGGUGUAAAGGGAGCGCAGGCGGGAAGACAAGUUGGAAGUGAAAUCUAUGGGCUCAACCCAUAAACUGCUUUCAAAACUGUUUUUCUUGAGUAGUGCAGAGGUAGGCGGAAUUCCCGGUGUAGCGGUGGAAUGCGUAGAUAUCGGGGGGAACACCAGUGGCGAAGGCGGCCUACUGGGCACCAACUGACGCUGAGGCUCGAAAGUGUGGGUAGCAAACAGGAUUAGAUACCCUGGUAGUCCACACCGUAAACGAUGAUUACUAGGUGUUGGAGGAUUGACCCCUUCAGUGCCGCAGUUAACACAAUAAGUAAUCCACCUGGGGAGUACGACCGCAAGGUUGAAACUCAAAGGAAUUGACGGGGGCCCGCACAAGCAGUGGAGUAUGUGGUUUAAUUCGACGCAACGCGAAGAACCUUACCAAGUCUUGACAUCCCUUGACAGGCAUAGAAAUAUGUUUUCUCUUCGGAGCAAGGAGACAGGUGGUGCAUGGUUGUCGUCAGCUCGUGUCGUGAGAUGUUGGGUUAAGUCCCGCAACGAGCGCAACCCUUAUGGUCAGUUACUACGCAAGAGGACUCUGGCCAGACUGCCGUUGACAAAACGGAGGAAGGUGGGGAUGACGUCAAAUCAUCAUGCCCUUUAUGACUUGGGCUACACACGUACUACAAUGGCGUUAAACAAAGAGAAGCAAGACCGCGAGGUGGAGCAAAACUCAGAAACAACGUCCCAGUUCGGACUGCAGGCUGCAACUCGCCUGCACGAAGUCGGAAUUGCUAGUAAUCGUGGAUCAGCAUGCCACGGUGAAUACGUUCCCGGGCCU